rnacentral:rRNA from 1 species
UGGGGAAUAUUGCACAAUGGGCGAAAGCCUGAUGCAGCAACGCCGCGUGAGUGAUGAAGGCCUUCGGGUUGUAAAGCUCUGUCUUCUGGGACGAUAAUGACGGUACCAGAGGAGGAAGCCACGGCUAACUACGUGCCAGCAGCCGCGGUAAUACGUAGGUGGCAAGCGUUGUCCGGAUUUACUGGGCGUAAAGGAUGCGUAGGCGGAUACUUAAGUCAGAUGUGAAAAUCCCGGGCUUAACUUGGGAACUGCAUUUGAAACUGGGUAUCUAGAGUGCGGGAGAGGAAAGUGGAAUUCCUAGUGUAGCGGUGAAAUGCGUAGAGAUUAGGAAGAACAACAGUGGCGAAGGCAGUCACUUGGUCCAUUACUGACGCUAAAGCACGAAAGCGUGGGUAGCAAACA